GGCUUAGAGUUUGAUCCUGGCUCAGAAUCAACGCUGGCGGCGUGCCUAACACAUGCAAGUCGAGCGAGAAAAGGGGGGCAACUCCCUGAGUACAGCGGCGCACGGGUGAGUAACACGUGGGUAAUCUGCCCUGGAGUGGGGAAUAACACCGGGAAACCGGUGCUAAUACCGCAUACGAUCACGAUGUCUGCGGACGUUGUGAUGAAAGGAGCAAUUCGCUCUAGGAGGAGCCCGCGGCUGAUUAGCUAGUUGGUGAGGUAAUGGCUCACCAAGGCUACGAUCAGUAUCCGGUCUGAGAGGACGGUCGGACACACUGGAACUGAGACACGGUCCAGACUCCUACGGGAGGCAGCAGUGGGGAAUUUUUGGCAAUGGGGGCAACCCUGACCAAGCAACGCCGCGUGGGUGAUGAAGUCUCUUGGGACGUAAAACCCUUUCGACGGGGAAGAAGGCGCAAGGUUA
rnacentral:rRNA from 1 species